GAGGGUAAAGUUCAGUGGUAGAGUGUGUGCUUAACUUGCACAAGGUCCUGAGUUCAAUCCCCAGUAUCUCCA
rnacentral:tRNA from 1 species